ACAUUAAAGUUUCGGCGGUAAAAGAUGAGUAUGCGUCCUAUUAGCUAGAUGGUAAGGUAACGGCUUACCAUGGCUACGAUAGGUAGGGGUCCUGAGAGGGAGAUCCCCCACACUGGUACUGAGACACGGACCAGACUCCUACGGGAGGCAGCAGUGAGGAAUAUUGGACAAUGGGCGCAAGCCUGAUCCAGCCAUGCCGCGUGCAGGAAGACUGCCCUAUGGGUUGUAAACUGCUUUUAUACGGGAAGAAACACCCUCUCGUGAGGGGGCUUGACGGUACCGUAUGAAUAAGGAUCGGCUAACUCCGUGCCAGCAGCCGCGGUAAUACGGAGGAUCCAAGCGUUAUCCGGAAUCAUUGGGUUUAAAGGGUCCGUAGGCGGGUUUGUAAGUCAGUGGUGAAAGUCUGCAGCUCAACUGUAGAACUGCCAUUGAUACUGCAUACCUUGAGUAAUUAUGAAGUGGUUAGAAUAUGUAGUGUAGCGGUGAAAUGCAUAGAUAUUACAUAGAAUACCGAUUGCGAAGGCAGAUCACUAAUAAUUUACUGACGCUGAUGGACGAAAGCGUAGGUAGCGAACAGGAUUAGAUACCCUGGUAGUCUACGCCGUAAACGAUGGUUACUAGCUGUUCGGACCGAUUAAGGUCUGAGUGGCUAAGCGAAAGUGAUAAGUAACCCACCUGGGGAGUACGUUCGCAAGAAUGAAACUCAAAGGAAUUGACGGGGGCCCGCACAAGCGGUGGAGCAUGUGGUUUAAUUCGAUGAUACGCGAGGAACCUUACCAGGGCUUAAAUGUAGCUUGACAGGGGUGGAAACACCUUUUCCUUCGGGCAAGUUACAAGGUGCUGCAUGGUUGUCGUCAGCUCGUGCCGUGAGGUGUCAGGUUAAGUCCUAUAACGAGCGCAACCCCUGUGGUUAGUUGCCAGCGAGUCAAGUCGGGAACUCUAGCCAGACUGCCGGUGCAAACCGUGAGGAAGGUGGGGAUGACGUCAAAUCAUCACGGCCCUUACGUCCUGGGCCACACACGUGCUACAAUGGUAGGGACAGAGAGCAGCCACUGGG
rnacentral:rRNA from 1 species